rnacentral:rRNA from 1 species
GUCAUCGAAGAAGUUUUGGACGAGCUACAUGGCGCAGCGUGGUUCUCGAAACUUGACUUGCGCGCGGGCUGUCAUCAGAUCAGGCUCGCGCUGGGGGAGGAGUACAAGACGGCAUUCUCCAUGCAUCAGGGCCACUUUGAAUUCAAGGUCUUGUCCUUUGGUUUGGCUGGAGCACCACCCACGUUCAUCGUAGGGCUGACUACAACGCUCAAGCCAGUGAUGCGCAUCUGCAUUCUCUGCUUCUUCGAUGACAUAUUGAUUUUCAGCGCCACAUUAGAGGAGCACAAGUGCCACGUGAGGCAGGUGUUGGAAUUGCUCCGGAAAGAUCAGUGGAAGGUCAAGCUCAGCAAGUGCGCUUUCGGGCAG